rnacentral:rRNA from 1 species
CGGAGAGUUUGAUCCUGGCUCAGGAUGAACGCUGGCGGCGUGCCUAAUACAUGCAAGUCGAACGCUUUGUGGUUCAACUGAUUUGAAGAGCUUGCUCAGAUAUGACGAUGGACAUUGCAAAGAGUGGCGAACGGGUGAGUAACACGUGGGAAACCUACCUCUUAGCAGGGGAUAACAUUUGGAAACAGAUGCUAAUACCGUAUAACAAUAGCAACCGCAUGGUUGCUACUUAAAAGAUGGUUCUGCUAUCACUAAGAGAUGGUCCCGCGGUGCAUUAGUUAGUUGGUGAGGUAAUGGCUCACCAAGACGAUGAUGCAUAGCCGAGUUGAGAGACUGAUCGGCCACAAUGGGACUGAGACACGGCCCAUACUCCUACGGGAGGCAGCAGUAGGGAAUCUUCCACAAUGGGCGAAAGCCUGAUGGAGCAACGCCGCGUGUGUGAUGAAGGGUUUCGGCUCGUAAAACACUGUUGUAAGAGAAGAAUGACAUUGAGAGUAACUGUUCAAUGUGUGACGGUAUCUUACCAGAAAGGAACGGCUAAAUACGUGCCAGCAGCCGCGGUAAUACGUAUGCUCCAAGCGUUAUCCGGAUUUAUUGGGCGUAAAGCGAGCGCAGACGGUUAUUUAAGUCUGAAGUGAAAGCCCUCAGCUCAACUGAGGAAUUGCUUUGGAAACUGGAUGACUUGAGUGCAGUAGAGGAAAGUGGAACUCCAUGUGUAGCGGUGAAAUGCGUAGAUAUAUGGAAGAACACCAGUGGCGAAGGCGGCUUUCUGGACUGUAACUGACGUUGAGGCUCGAAAGUGUGGGUAGCAAACAGGAUUGGAUACCCUGGUAGUCCACACCGUAAACGAUGAGUGCUA